CAUCGUAUAGUAUAAAUUGGAGUACAAAAAAUUGUAAAUUUUUAGGCGCAUAAGAGGCUGCGAUGU
rnacentral:tRNA from 1 species